rnacentral:rRNA from 1 species
CACAAGCGGUGGAGCAUGUGGUUUAAUUGGAAGCAACGCGAAGAACCUUACCAACUCUUGACAUCCCAUUGACCGCUUGAGAGAUCAAGUUUUCCCUUCGGGGACAAUGGUGACAGGUGGUGCAUGGUUGUCGUCAGCUCGUGUCGUGAGAUGUUGGGUUAAGUCCCGCAACGAGCGCAACCCCUAUCCUUAGUUGCCAGCAUUCAGUUGGGCACUCUAGGGAGACUGCCGGUGACAAACCGGAGGAAGGUGGGGAGGACGUCAAAUCAUCAUGCCCCUUAUGAGUUGGGCUACACACGUGCUACAAUGGACGGUACAAAGGGCAGGGAGACCGCGAGGUGGAGCCAAUCCCAUAAACCCGUUCCCAGUUCGGAUUGCAGGCUGCAACUCGCCUGCAUGAAGUCGGAAU